rnacentral:tRNA from 1 species
GGUCUGUUAGUCUAGUUGGUUAGGACGUCGGAUUCUGAUUUAACCAUCAGUGCUUUCCGUAAGCCCAGGUUCGAAUCCUGGAUGGACCU